UUUUUUUUUAUUUUCUAUGCACAUUGGUUAUGUAUAGAAUAAACAAUAAUUUGUUCAGGGUAACUUAUGUCACACCGAUGUAUUAAGUGAUAUACAUUUAUUAUGAUAGAGUUUAGAAAGGUUUGUUGAUUUUUGAAAAGUAUUACUUCACAUAGAUCCAAGUAUGUGAAUAGUUAGCCUACCUCUACAUAAUUUGAAUAUUCGCAAGUUUAAACACGAUUCACAUUAUUAAUUAUUUCAUUUGUAUUAGCGAAAAGGACUUGUCACUGAUUAAUGACAGGUGGUUAGUGUCAAUUGUGAUUACAACUCUGCUAUUAUUGGUAUAAGGAAUAAAUAUUAUGAGUUUAAAAUUUGCUCUUUAAAAAAUUGAUAUAUCUAAUAUUCUAUAAAAUUGUAAUGAUUUACUUACAAGAGAGCAGAACUUACUACUGUUCAUAUUAAAUAUCUGUCGAUUUUAUCAUUUAAAUAAAAUAAAAUUAUUUCUUAUAACAUUAUUUGUAUUUUUAUUAUUUCUGCAGUUAACAAAUUUAAUAGUUAUA